rnacentral:rRNA from 1 species
UACGAAGGGGGCUAGCGUUGCUCGGAAUCACUGGGCGUAAAGGGUGCGUAGGCGGGUCUUUAAGUCAGGGGUGAAAUCCUGGAGCUCAACUCCAGAACUGCCUUUGAUACUGAAGAUCUUGAGUUCGGGAGGGGUGAGUGGAACCGCGAGUGUAGAGGUGAAAUUCGUAGAUAUUCGCAAGAACACCAGUGGCGAAGGCGGCUCACUGGCCCGAUACUGACGCUGAGGCAUGAAAGCGUGGGGAGCAAACAGG